rnacentral:tRNA from 1 species
GGCCGCCUAGCCCAAUUGGUAGAGGCGCGCGCCUUAGGAGUGCGAGGAUCCCGGUUCGAGCCCGGGGGCGGCUA